GACGAACGCUGGCGGCGUGCUUAACACAUGCAAGUCGAACGAAGUGGCGAAAGGGUGAGUAACGAGUAAUCAACCUGCCCUUCAGAGGGGGACAACAGUUGGAAACGAAUGCUAAUACCGCAUACUGAAGGAGGGGAUGGCGUCUGAUUAGCUAGUUGGAGGGGUAACGGCCCACCAAGGCGAGGUUCAGUAGCCGGUCUGAGCUGAUGAACGGCCACAUUGGGACUGAGACACGGCCCAGACUCCUACGGGAGGCAGCAGUGGGGAAUCUUCCGCCAUGGACGAAAGUCUGACGGGGCAACGCCGCGUGAGUGAUGACGGCCUUCGGGUUGUAAAGCUCUGUUAAUCGGGACGCGGUACCGGAAUAGAAAGCCACGGCUAACUACGUGCCAGCAGCCGCGGUAAUUC
rnacentral:rRNA from 1 species